AUACUUACCUGAUGACGAUGAUUUGGUGAUCACCUCAGGCCAAAUCGUCUCUUUUCGUCCUUCCUCUUGCACACCUGGGAGGUGUUAAGGCGACUAUCCGUAAGGCUAGUCGGUUAUCUAAUUUCUGGUAGUGGUGGAGUUUGCGCUCGUCGCAUCUCCACU
rfam:Polysphondylium pallidum PN500 unplaced genomic scaffold PPL_scaffold1, whole genome shotgun sequence.